rnacentral:rRNA from 1 species
UACGUAGGGCGCAAGCGUUGUCCGGAAUUAUUGGGCGUAAAGAGCUCGUAGGCGGCUUGUCGCGUCGAUUGUGAAAGCCCGGGGCUUAACUCCGGGUCUGCAGUCGAUACGGGCAGGCUAGAGUGUGGUAGGGGAGAUCGGAAUUCCUGGUGUAGCGGUGAAAUGCGCAGAUAUCAGGAGGAACACCGGUGGCGAAGGCGGAUGUCUGGGCCAUUACUGACGCUGAGGAGCGAAAGCGUGGGGAGCGAACAGG